CAAUGUUAUAGUAUAAUAUGAUGAAAUGUCAUAGUAUAGUAUGUUAAAAAAGUUCAAUUUAAGUGAAAAGAAAAACAUAUUUUAGUAUGAAAAUAAAUGUCAUAGUAUAGUAUGACAAAAAUUUCCAUUUUUAGUCUGAAAAAAAUUCAUAUGUUAGUAUGACAAAAUGUCAUAGUCUAGUAUGAUAAAAAUGUCAUAGUAUAUAGUAUGACAAAAAUUUCAAUUUUCAGUCUGGAAAAAAAUUUCAUGUUGGUAUGAAAAAUGUCAUAGUGUAGUAUGUGAAGAUUUUUUGAUUUAAGUGUGAAAAGAAAAACAUAUUUUAAUAUGAAAAUAAAUGUCAUAGAAUAGAAUGAUAAAAAUGUCAUGGUAUAGUAUGUUAAAAAUGUCAAUUUUUAGUCUGAAAAAAGUCAGAUUUUAGUUUGAUAAAAACAUUGUCUAGUAUGAUUAAAUAUCAUAGUUUAGUAUUAUAAAAGUAUUCUUAUAAAUAGUGAUGGUUAUUUGCUGUUUAAGCUGCAACAAGGGUCAUUAAAGAGGAAAUAUGUGAACAGAGAGUGUUCUGAGGUUGGAACAUUGCAGCUAACAGUAUGAUUUUGAAAGAAUGAAAGUGUGAUAUGAGUGUAAAUUGAAAAAAAAAAAUCUCCUUUUCAGGUAAACAGCUCGACCCAUCCGUGCGAGAGGUGAAGAAGAACAAGGAACCAGACUACACGCAAAAGACAAUACCAAGUGUAGCAAACAUUUGUCUAGAUAAGCAGAUCCACAGCUAUGAUGGGUUCAAGGAAAAGUUAGAAGGGGUUCUGAAGCACUUAGAUCUCUAAACUGUCUGUUUGCCAGGGCAAGCUCAUUCUGAACCCAGAGACUCUGUUGCACAUUCUUGACUCACUGAAAUCAAUAAACAGAACUACAACUAAA